GACGAACGCUGGCGGCGUGCCUAAUACAUGCAAGUCGAGCGAGCUUGCCUAGAUGAAUUUGGUGCUUGCACCAAAUGAAACUAGAUACAAGCGAGCGGCGGACGGGUGAGUAACACGUGGGUAACCUGCCCAAGAGACUGGGAUAACACCUGGAAACAGAUGCUAAUACCGGAUAACAACACUAGACGCAUGUCUAGAGUUUAAAAGAUGGUUCUGCUAUCACUCUUGGAUGGACCUGCGGUGCAUUAGCUAGUUGGUAAGGUGACGGCUUACCAAGGCAAUGAUGCAUAGCCGAGUUGAGAGACUGAUCGGCCACAUUGGGACUGAGACACGGCCCAAACUCCUACGGGAGGCAGCAGUAGGGAAUCUUCCACAAUGGACGCAAGUCUGAUGGAGCAACGCCGCGUGAGUGAAGAAGGGUUUCGGCUCGUAAAGCUCUGUUGGUAGUGAAGAAAGAUAGAGGUAGUAACGGGCCUUUAUUUGACGGUAAUUACUUAGAAAGUCACGGCUAACUACGUGCCAGCAGCCGCGGUAAUACGUAGGUGGCAAGCGUUGUCCGGAUUUAUUGGGCGUAAAGCGAGUGCAGGCGGUUCAAUAAGUCUGAUGUGAAAGCCUUCGGCUCAACCGGAGAAUUGCAUCAGAAACUGUUGAACUUGAGUGCAGAAGAGGAGAGUGGAACUCCAUGUGUAGCGGUGGAAUGCGUAGAUAUAUGGAAGAACACCAGUGGCGAAGGCGGCUCUCUGGUCUGCAACUGACGCUGAGGCUCGAAAGCAUGGGUAGCGAACAGG
rnacentral:rRNA from 1 species